rnacentral:lncRNA from 1 species
GGGGCCAGGUGGUGGGAAGGGCUGGGAAGGGGUGUCUCUUCUGGAUUCAAGCCCAGGCAAACGGAGCCAACACCCUUUGUCAGGCGCUCUCACCGCAUCCUACAGGCCCCAGCGCUGACAGCUCGUGGGCUGUUUACCAACGCAGCCUCCCUGCUUGCCCCUCAUGGACCCCACGGGAUCCUACGGGCAGCUUUCCGCUCCUUACAAACGGUACCCGGAACGCAACCUAAUCAUCGUAAAGGGCCCGCGACGGGCUUUGCUUCAGGGCAGGAGCGCCGGUCCGGUGCCGACGGCUGGAAAAGGCAGCCCUCCUACAUAAAGCGCCAGGCACCCUGCUCCUUCCCCUCCGCCGCGUUCGGAAGAAACCGUUCGUUUCCAUCUUUCCAGGGGCAAGGAUGGGAGCAGCGUUCGCCACUACCCGCCAGCAAGAUAAACAGCACCGCGGCCCAGGCGAGCCUGCUGGGGGGCAGAGAUUGCCCGCCGCGGCCCAGGCGAGAUGCCGGCCACGCGCGCCCCCGAGACCAGGCCCCGGCGUCCCCAAGCCCGGCCUCCCGCCUCAGCCCCCGCGGUUCGGCGGCGACCCGCGCACGCCGUUCCACCUGCAAAAUGGAGGCGAAGGCACGAAGCGACUCCCGCGACCCCAGCAAGCUUUUGUAUCCUGCAGGCGGGACGCGAGGGUGUCGGGCCCGCACGGCCACGGGCCUCGCAGAGAGACCCCAGGAGAUCGCGCACGGAGGGGGCCGCGCCUCGCGCGCUGAGACUGCCCAGGCCGCCGCCCCCAGAGCCGCGAGCGCCCGCUGGAACCGCGCCCGCGCCCCGGCCUCGGCCUACCUACCGCACCUCGACGCUUCGCACGCUCCGAGCGGCCCCCCGAAGCCCCAUGCGCCAACCCGGAGCCCGAGGUCCCACACAGCACCCGCAGCCCGAGCGCACGAGCGCGGAACGCUUGGGGCGGGGCCGACCCCCCGCCCCGCCUGGCAGACCCUCCCCCUUGUCCCUCCGCACGAGGACGCCUUAAGGCCUGGAGCAGCCAAUCCCAGACCUCAGUCCGGAGGCUCCACGAAUAGGCACCCAGAUCCUACAAGAAGAGCCCACCCCUCGUGUCCUCCUGGCCUAUGGGCGGCCGGAUCUUCUUUGGAGGCGGCCGGCCUCCCUCUCCGUCCGCGCUUCGGCCCUGGGCUCUCUUCCUCGCGGCCGGCGGCGUCGUGA